GGUGGCUUAGUAGUAGAGUACUUGUCUUGCAUGCAUGAGGACCUGGGUUCGAUUCCUCAGCACCA
rnacentral:tRNA from 1 species